GUGUGGGUGAGAGACAGAGAAGGAGGAGGGGCGGAGGGAGAGAGAGAGAGCGAGAGAGAGCGAGAGCCCUAGCAGUCUUUCAGAUCUUGGCUGUGGUAGGGACACCCAGGAGAAGUGCAUUCCUGAGGCAGCAGGCGAGUAGAAGGCAGCAAGACAGAGCGGAGAAGUCGCGACGUCCUGUAAAUCUCUCCGUGACCGCGUCCGACUGCCUCUGACCUCCGGACUCUGGGCUCGCACACACACUCACUCACUGCCUCGCACGCAAGCCACACAACCGGCUCUGCUGCUCUGUCAGAAGUUAAGGAUUCCCCCGAGUGAGGAAAAGAGAAGGAGAGAAUUAAAACUGACAGGGGAUAUAGAGACACAGAAGAAAAGGGGAAGAUCCUCUCACUCGAGUCAGCGCCAUGCAGUGUUGAGCUGAAUCAAGCCGAGCUGAAGUGAUCUGUGUUGAAGACCAUCUUCCCUUCACCCCGUCCCACCUGGUCCCAGAUGGAGCUCAAAGUGUGGGUGGACGGAGUGGUGCGGGUGGUGUGCGGCCUGUCUGAGGAGACAUCCUGCCAGGAUGUAGUCAUCGCUCUGGCCCAGGCCAUUGGUCAGACAGGCCGCUAUGUUCUGAUCCAGCGUCUUAGGGAUACAGAGAGGCAGCUGUUGGCUACAGAGAAGCCUCUGGAGUCUCUGGCUAAGUUAGGCCAACAUGGCGCUGAAGUUCAGUUCUUCCUGCGCCGUACUGGCCCUAGCAGCAGUGACGGACCCAGCUCAAAACAGGACACACCAACUUCACCCCAACUGCCCAAGUACCCUGAGCCAGAGCCUUCGAAACGCAGCCAGCCUAAGAAAGCACUCACCUUUAACCUGGGGCCAUCCACCUCCCCUAAUAACAAAGCCAAACAUUUUAAGAAGUCUCCUCGGGACUCUCCAGAGCAAAGAGCCUCCCCUUCUCCCAGCCCUGUAUCCCCUCAUAUUCCAUCCCCAUCCCAAUCCCCGUCCCCAUCCCCGUCCCCAUCCCCAGCACUACCUAUAGGCCCUUCCAAAGAGGAGGUUUUUAGGAAGGUUCUUCAGCAACAGGAGAGACUGAGGGCUAUGGAGGCCCAGCUAGAAGCCGUAGAGAGGGAGUCACACACCUGGGAGCGUCCCAACCCAUCUCCAUGUCCCUCACCAGUUUCUGACACUCACUUGCAAGAAGAGAUGGACGCUCUGGAGCAAGCGGUUCGGAGGAACCAGGCCGAGCUCGCCCACGAGCAGUAUUGGGAGGAGGAGCUUCAGGCAGAGUUGGAGAGGGAGCGAGGAAUGAGGAGGAAGCUUGGGGAGCUCCACGCCAAGCUCGACGACUGCGGACGGCGGCUCCACAAGUUCUCUGUUCGCUCUGCGCAGCUGCAGCAAGAGAUCCAGCGGGAAAGCCAGACGGAAGGGAAAGCCAACAGACCAGAGGAAUCCCUCGAUGCCGUGAAGGCAGAGCUCCAGAGUCAGGAAAAUCACGGGACAGAGCUGGAGGAGCAGCUUUCUGAGACUGACAAGGCUCUGGGGAAGGCAGAGUCUCUGAUGCAGGCCAAACAGGAGGAGCUGGAGGAGUUGAAUAAGGAGCUGAGGCAGUGUAACCUGCAGCAGUUCAUUCAACAGGCAGGUGUCCUGCAGGCGCACACUCACUCACGCAAAGAGCUUCAGGAGCAACUGGAGCAGUUCGAACUGGCACAUCUUCUGCAGGAUGGAUACAGGAAUGGAAGCCACAGUGUAACUCAAGUGGAAUCACCGCCUCGCCCCACUGCCAAACAGUUCCUGGGACAUCCACGCAACCUGCAAAACCCUCUGGUGUCCAGUCUCAACCCUGAGGGUGUGUAUGUGUGAGACCCUGCUUCCCAAGUCCAUACCGCUCUCCUCUCUUCUCCUGCCCUGCCCAUCCCCUGGCCCCAGAGUUCCUUGUCCCCAAACUUUCUACCCCAGCUUGAUUGGGUUUAAUGCUACAACUGCCAUUUCUUGGUGUUGGGUGGUGGAAGCAGCUGUAUGGUGGAGGUUCCUGCUACGUCCCUGUGCUCUACUUUUAAAGGCUGAAAGACCUCUCUUCUGCGCCUUACUCUCAGUCUUUUGCUGAUUCCUGUCUUUAACAGCUGAUUUAACACAUUCAUCCCUCUAUUUUCUCACACAUAUUUGUAACCUCUAAUUCUGUGGGUCUAUCCUUUCAUGUUUUCUCUCCUCCCCGCCCUCCUCCUCUCUCACUGUUUGCUUCUGGACUAACAGUAACCGCUUCCGUUAUACUUUAAUACAUCUGGGAACUUGUUCCUAAUUCCCCCCCCCCCCCCCUGUAAUACAGAGCGGCCUUCCCACCCUCAAGUCAACAGUCAAUCGAUCGCACUGGGAAUGACUGUAGCAGACAUUCUGAUUGUAGCGCUGUUUUUAUACUGUGACAUGAAAUGAAAUGAGACCAAUGCCAUUUCAGUAUGCCUUUUAUGUAUGAAUACUAUUUAUAUGUGAGGGGGGGGUUAUCUAUAUAAUGCCUUGUACUUUGUUGAUGCUUGACUUCCAAAGAGCAAGAGCCUUUCACGGAAGGGCUCUGCAAAAUGUUUUUGCACUCUUUUGCUCUCAUGCUCUUCCUGUGUGAAGCCUUGGCUCUGGUUGCCUACAGAGAAAAGUAUCUUUCUGGUCCCUUUCUGCUCUGCUUGAAAAUUGAAAAUUAUUUUUGGAGCUUAUAGCUUUUUAAAGUCUAUUUUUUUUAAGCUCCAUGCUAAAAGACAGGAUACAUUUCAAAAGCAGUGCAACAAGGCCAUGGUUUGUUAUAUAUAAAAUAUUUCUUUUCCUCCAUUGGGAUUGAUUCUCCUGGUUCUUUUGCUGUCAUCACACCUAACAUUUGACCUGUCAUAACUUGUAUUGUGCCUCGAUGGACUGUAGAUUUAGUUCACGUUUACUUAGCUAAGCCCGGAUAAAAAACAUCAAGCAAACAAGGGAAACUGUUGUUUUCAGUGCUCUGGUGGUCUUUAUUACUGUAAUUCACAAAUAACAAUCCAAAUCACCUAAACCAAUAUUUACUAUAUCAUAGCACCUAUAUGUCAAAAUGACAGGUCAAAGUGACGUGUGUUUGAGUGUGCACUCCCUUCUCACUUUUCUCGGUGGGAUUAUACAACCGCUCCUCGCUUGGGAAACUACACACAUCUCUGUGCUUGUUAUA